AUGCAAGUCGAGCGGGGGAAGGUAGCUUGCUACUGGACCUAGCGGCGGACGGGUGAGUAAUGCUUAGGAAUCUGCCUAUUAGUGGGGGACAACAUCUCGAAAGGGAUGCUAAUACCGCAUACGUCCUACGGGAGAAAGCAGGGGAUCUUCGGACCUUGCGCUAAUAGAUGAGCCUAAGUCGGAUUAGCUAGUUGGUGGGGUAAAGGCCUACCAAGGCGACGAUCUGUAGCGGGUCUGAGAGGAUGAUCCGCCACACUGGGACUGAGACACGGCCCAGACUCCUACGGGAGGCAGCAGUGGGGAAUAUUGGACAAUGGGGGGAACCCUGAUCCAGCCAUGCCGCGUGUGUGAAGAAGGCCUUAUGGUUGUAAAGCACUUUAAGCGAGGAGGAGGCUACUUUAGUUAAUACCUAGAGAUAGUGGACGUUACUCGCAGAAUAAGCACCGGCUAACUCUGUGCCAGCAGCCGCGGUAAU
rnacentral:rRNA from 1 species